AACAAUGGAAGUAACAAUGGAAGUAACGAUCGGAAUGACAGUGAUAAUAACAAUCGGAGUAACAAAAUUACACCUAAUAUAAACAGUAACAAAGAAAUAAGCAAAGAAUCAAUACAAAAUAUAGUUAGUGAUAACAUAGAAGAUAAUUUAUAUAAAUACAAUGAUGAAAACAAAUAUGAAGGAAAUAAUUUUGCUUUUUCAAAUUCGCAAAAUUUUACAUUAAGAAGAAGAAAUGUGGUAGGGGAAAGUGGAAGUAUACAUAACGAUGAAGAGAAAAAUAAAUAUAUUGAUAGAAUGAUAGAAAAGGAUAGAAACGAAGAGAAUAUAGAAAAACAAAAAAGAAAAGGACAAAGUAAAUUAUUAAUGUUAUAUUCUGUUAAAAAUGAUGAAAAUAAUAACGAACAUAAUAAAAAUAAUAAAACAAAUAAUAUAAUAGAUGGUGAGCUUAAUAACAAGACAAAUGAAACAUAUACAAAUUUAAAUAAAAUUAUUAAAGACAAAAAUUAUAUGGAUGAACUUAAUUAUGAAUUAAAUGGUGAAAACAGUUAUAGUAAAAACAGUUAUAAUAAAAACAGUUAUAGUAAAAAUAACGAAAUUUUUGAAAAAGAUACAAAUGAAAUUAACUCAUUUUUAAAUAGAACAAAAAAUUUAAGUCAUAAUCAAACUAACAUAAAUAAUUCUAAUAUUGUCUAUGAUAAUUAUAGUAAUAAUAAUAACAAUAACAAUAACAAUAACAAUAACAAUAACAAUAACAAUAANNNNNNNNNNAAUAAUAAUAAUAAUAAUAAUAAUAAUAAUAAUAAUAAUAAUAACAGUUUAAAUUCUGAAAUAAGAAAAAGAAUGAUAAAUAUUGAAAGGUUCAAUAAUAAUGAAAAUAGUGAAAUUAUUACUUCUGAUUUUGAUGAAGUUAUUAAUAGUUCAGAUACUGCUGAUUCGAAUUAUGUUAAACAUCCUUUAAAUGAAAAAAAAAAAAAAAAAAAAAAAAAAAUAAAACAGUAACAGUAACACAAAACGGUAAUACAAGACGGAUGUACGAACAAAUAAUAGAGUUGCUAUAUGACCAAAAAUAUAAGUUGGGGGAAACUAAGCAAAUGGAAUAGGUGAUGUUAAUAUGGCAGUCCAAGGCAAUAUUAUAAUUUCAAACAUUUAAUGCUUGUUUAAAAAAUCAAAAUAAUUUGUAUAAUGUCAGGUUCAAAAUAAGAAAAAUUAAUGUAAAAUAAACAAAAGGAGAUAAUCA
rnacentral:lncRNA from 1 species